ensembl:lncRNA
GGUAACCUGCAGUUUGUCGUCCGCUCCACUAGGGGCGCAAGCGGACUUUGCCUCCGGCGAACUGUGCAUCAUUGCCAGCGUGACACCUGACAGCAGUGUCAACAACUUCAGACCGCUUUAAAACUGUGAAAGUGAAGAUUCUGCACAUGACAGCUCGGUGAGAGACUAUUAAUGUGACUCAACUGCACAUAUUUGAGGCCAACAUUAAACAAAACCAUCAUAUAUUGUGGUAAAGUGCAUGAAAGGAGGAUGUCACGCGACUCACCUGUAAGUGAUUUUACGCACAAGUGCGCUUCUCUUGUAAGGUCACUAGUACUUAUUUAGCGUUAUUUAAGUUUGUAGUGAAGUAUCGUUUUUCUGAUUAUGUCAAAGCAGGUCUUUAAUGUGCUGGCUGGAGAAUUUGGGUGAUGUUUUUGACUCGCUGUCAAUCCUUGAAGUGUUAGUGAUUUGACAGCUAAGCAUGUUUGAAGGCAUGAAGGAGUCGAUUACCAUGAAGCUUUAUGAAGUGCAAUAAUGACAAAAAGUGUUGUUUAUCCACUGAUGUUGUAAUGUGGUAAAUAGAAGUCUACUCUAUUCGUGUUUGUUAAUAGAGUCAGUUGGUGAGAAUUAUUAAUGCUUCUGAUAAUAUACUCAGUGUGGGUCACACUAUCUAUCUAUCUAUCUAUCUAUAUAUAUAUAUAUAUAUAUAUAUAUAUAUAUAUAUAUAUAUAUAUAUAUAUAUUACCUUAGCAAAUGUCUGAAUGUAGAUUGAAUGUGGAUUAUAUAUCUUUUUAGUUUUCAGUGUUUUAAGGCAAAACUUCUAACUGAUGUCCACAUGAUCUAUUUUUAAAGGUUUAUAAUGUUAUUGUACAUACAGUAUAGAGUCUUUGCUUAUUUACGUAUUUGCAGAAUAAGGGGUGAGUUUGGACGAUACAGAGUUUUGGGAAACAUCUGCUCAUGGACAGUCUGGCCUAAAGCAUAACCACUGCUGGACAUCAUGCUGGAAGCUCCAGGGGGAGACCGCACUGGUAUCCCCCUCCUUUGGGUGCACCCUUCACUCACACCACACCAUUCAUUCAUAUCGCAGAGAUCUGGCUGGGAUCGAACCAGCAACCUCUGAAACCGUGAGGCAGCGCUCAUACCUGUGAGCCACAGAUCUCUUGUCCUGACAUGUGAAGUAACUUAUACUUCUGUGCAUUUCAAAUAAAGUAUAAAAUUAAGGCUUUAAAGCUGUGAUU